GCCCCCAUGGUCUAGCGGUCAGGACGCCAGCCUUUCAAGCUGGCGGCAGGGGUUCGACUCCCCUUGGGGGCA
rnacentral:tRNA from 1 species